CACACACGGUCUCUUUUUCCAUAUCUCUCUAGGGUUUCGCAGGGGUAGAGCUACGUUCUCAUGGUGGUGUUGAUUGGAGGAGCCUAAUUGAAAAUGCAGAUUCGUUUGAAAAACCAAAGAAGAAGAGGCCUCAUUUGAACACUAUGUCAUCCCCCAUGGCCUGAAACUCCAGUGUUUCUCCCGAUAAUCGAAGCGUAAGCCUCCUCCUCAUCAUCUCUCUCUCUCUCUUUCUAUCUUUUCCUUUUCCCGCUCUUUGCUUUCUUAGGAAACUGUGGACAAGAGAAUAGUGGAAAAUUCUAAUUCUCAUAUUAAUUAAAAAAAAAUUGGGAGCUUGUGGAUGAAACCAAAUGGUUUUAUUAGGUUUCUAUUUGGUUGGCAAGGAAGAUGAGACUCAAAUGGAAGUUCAAUUUCUAUAUCUCAAAACCCCCCGAUUGUAAGAAUUACCGAAAUUGUCGUCGACCGAUAAAUAUCGCCGAAAUUGUUCGACAUUUCAAUCCUUGCAUAAGACUACCCAACCAGGUUCGGAAUGAUGAUAAUGGUAUAUAAUUUUUGAAGGAUCCAAAACUGGAGUGAAGCGCAGAGAAACGGAACCCUCGAUUCAGAUCUAUCUUCGCUCUCUAGAAUUUCUACUCAAUCUCCUCAAAGUCGGAUCUCCAC
rnacentral:lncRNA from 1 species